rnacentral:rRNA from 1 species
CCUACGGGUGGCUGCAGUGAGGAAUAUUGGUCAAUGGACGAGAGUCUGAACCAGCCAAGUAGCGUGAAGGAUGACUGCCCUAUGGGUUGUAAACUUCUUUUAUAUGGGAAUAAAAUGUUACACGUGUGGGAUUUUGUAUGUACCAUAUGAAUAAGGAUCGGCUAACUCCGUGACAGCAGCCGCGGUAAUACGGAGGAUCCGAGCGUUAUCCGGAUUUAUUGGGUGUAAAGUGAGCGUAGGUUGAUUGUUAAGUCAGUUGUGAAAGUUUGCGGCUCAACCGUAAAAUUGCAGUUGACACUGGCAGUCUUGAGUACAGGAGAGGUGAGCGGAAUUCGUGGUGUAGCAGUGAAAUGCUUAGAUAUCGCGAAGAACUCCGGUUGCGAAGGCAGCUCACUGGACUGCAACUGACACUGAGGCUCGAAAGUGUGGGUAUCAAACGGGAUUAGAUACCCGGGUAGUC